UAGAGUUUGAUCCUGGCUCAGAAUCAACGCUGGCGGCGUGCCUAACACAUGCAAGUCGAGCGAGAAAGUGUAGCAAUACAUGAGUACAGCGGCGCACGGGUGAGUAACACGUGGGUAAUCUGCCAUGAAGUUCGGGAUAAUCCCGCGAAAGCGGGACUAAUACCGGAUGUGACCGAUGGGAGGCAUCUUCUGUUGGUUAAAGUUGGGGACCGUAAGGCCUGACGCUUCUUGAUGAGCCCGCGGCCUAUCAGCUAUUUGGUGAGGUAACGGCUCACCAAGGCUACGACCGGUACCUGGUCUGAGAGGACGACCCGCCCCCCUGGAAGCGACAACCGUGCCGCACACCGAC
rnacentral:rRNA from 1 species